CCCAAUAUGGUGGAGUGGCUACCAUUGCUGUCUUCCAUUCACCACGGAGUUGAUCACAGCAGUCUGGGGCUCGAUUCCCCGCGUUGGAU